rfam:Gossypium raimondii Chr07_contig_69, whole genome shotgun sequence.
UGUUAAAAUUUUUAUCUAUUUAUAUUAUUAAAAAUUUAUGUGAUUGAUAAAAUAAUCAGACAAUGAGAUAUAAUGUCUCACAUAUACCUCAUAUUAGCAUACAAAAAUUAACUUUUAAUAAUAUAAAUAAAUAAAAUUUUUAACA